UUCAGCACCACCCAAUCUUUGACUAUUGAAUACAUCUCCAUAGAAUAGUUCUCUAGGGGAUAACCUGAAGAUUUUAUCUUCCUGUUAUACUUCUGUUUUGUGGACAGUUCAGGUUGAGUUUGUUCAGGUCUUGCUUUCUUGCCACGAAUUUUAUUGCUAGAGCCAAGAGUAUCUUCCAACCAACAAUAGCUUCCAUAUUUGACUCCCAAUCACCCAUUCUAUUCAACAUGUUUUUGUUCUGUUCAUCAAUGUAAGAUCCAUUGAAGUUAAAUUGUUGUCCACAAAAGAUUCCAUGUGAGAUUGCAUUCCCUGAUAGUGAUCUUCCUGCCAUUUUUGUUGUUGCUGAAAGAAUUCUUUCUGAUUAUCAAGAAUUGCUUGAUAAUGAGUUUCUUGUGUUCUUGAUUGUUCAACCAUGUGUAUACCAAGAAAAUUCUGGCAAAAAGCUUGAGUAUCCACAUAUAAUGCAGAUUACAUACCAGAUUGGUAGGCAGAGUGCAGCUCUUGAUAUUGAUGUUGGUGCCAUUUUUGCUGUUCUUCAAAUAUUUGUUUCUGGUUUUCAAGAUAUUCAGCCUAUUGCUUUCUUGAUUCUUCAACCAUGUAUG
rnacentral:lncRNA from 1 species